AUAUUUGGGCAAAACCUUUCAAGAUCUUAUUGACCUCUGAAACAGUGACGGUUUCAUCAUCUUCUUCCUAUUCGUCGUCCUCAGACCAACACAGUUCGCUGAAGCUAGGGAAGAAGAACCGGCCCAAUUCCAUACGACGCCAUAGACGCCAGCACCCUUAGGAUUCUUUUCCCUGACCAGUUCCUCUAGUCUGUUGAUUAGUCUUCUUAAACAUGAUUUCAACUAUUUCUUGUCAAGAAAAAUAUGACUGAAGAGAAAGUUAAGAAGACAAUGAAGAGAUCGGCCGAUUUGAUCGCCAUCAGAGAAGAGAAAGUUAAGGGGACAGUGAAGAGAUUGCCUGAUUUUGCGAGGAUCAGAGUAUCAAAGAAAGGAUUUAUAUAAGGUAAAAAUCAGGGAUUUGGAACGGUUGCAUGGGUCAGAUUGUAGCUGUAAAGAAGGGAGUUUAAUGAGAAAGAUUGGUGGAGACGGACGUUACAUAAGAGAAUCGGAAAUGGUGGUAAACGUUUGCGUUUCUACGAUGGGUACGAAGCAGGUGAAGUUGAUGAGUUGCUUAGGGCUGAUAAUGUGUACAUAUUAGCCCACACGAAAGCCCGGUAACUUAGAAACUUGACUUGAUGCUUAAUGAAGAUGACGUGACAAAACUGAGCCUCUCUAUUGGUUGAUUUUUUAAACCAACAUGGACACUUUCUAUGUGCAUCUUAUUUUCCUUUUAGUAUAGUUUAGAUUAGACCAAAAGAUUACAUGAAUUAUAGCCAUUGGUUGUUUCCCAUGAAAGUUGCAUUUAUGAUUUCAUAAAAUAUAAAAUGUUGAACAACCAAAGCAACUACUUUAGCUAGAUUUGCAAAAUAACUAACGUUUAAGAUUUGCAAGGCAAUGACAUCAACUUGUAAUCUUUAGGUUUUCUAAUGUAUAUAAAAUCAACCAAUGAAUUUGACCCCAAAAAAAAUCAACCAAUGAAUUUAACUGAUGUUGUUAGGUGAUUAACCAAUGAAUUAAAAUUUACCCAUUAAUUAGGAACAAAAUCUGUAAAAAUAAGCAAGUGGGCCUGAUUUUAAAUAAGUGAUUGAUAACAAUAUAUUAGUUUACCAUUAAUGGAUGAGUGAGAUUAGGUUGUAAUUAUCAAAUAAAAUCAAAAACAAAUCUUUUUUAACGCUGAUUUAAUAUGAUAUUACAAUUAUAAGAAAUAUUACAUAGACAAUUAGACAACAGACAAAACUACAUGUCUUAUGAAGAUUUACACCUAACUGCAUCACCUGAGCCGUCUUUAUGAAGAUUCACAUUUGGCCGGAUUUACUUGUACCAUGUUGGUAAGUUUUUCUUUCGUAGUCUGCAUAUGUGUUUGAUAAAUCUCUUUCUCCCGGAAUUGAAACAUAGACCUCUUAUAAUGUUGCAAUCUACAAGAAAUUGCAUAGCCUAAGAUUCAAAACCAAACUUGAAUGUAAAAACCUUUAAACUUUAACCAUUAGACUAUAGUGCUUCCAUGGCAAAAUCUUAUUUAUACUUCGGUUUUAAUGUAGGAACUUUUAUGAAAUAGUUCGAUCUCUUGUACUCAACAUUUUAAACGAAUUAUGAUUGGUUUGAUUUAUUUUCUGUAAGGUAUGUAGGUAGCGUUUCAUAAAGUUUGAGUCUUACCUAAAACGUUACGUACACAAAUUCGAUUGUGCAAGUUUGGGACCCAUAUAUCUCUUAACAUUGUGCCUCUGUCUUUCAGCAUUGCAUUUAGAUCAAAAUCAGUUGUAGAUUCUUCCUCAAACGUCAAACCAGAACAAUUUGGGAGGAUCUUGACCAUACACCAUUUUAAAUGUUGUUUUGUAUGCAGAGACAAACAAAACAAGGUACACCAGAAUUCAACCCAACGACAAAAUACUUAAACAAGCCUUCAAAUAAGCAGAAGCAAAGCAUUUUUAAUAGGUCUCUAAGCAUCUAUUGAAAACUUUUAUUUGACCAUUACUUUGUGGAUCAUAAGAAAUCAAAACUGUAUAAGCCUCAUAAAAUGAGUAUACUUUCUCAGAUGAUCAAUGACCACAAGUAUCACAUUUGCCUCUUCAUAUUUUGGAAGGCCUUUAUUGAAACCCAUGGACGCUUCUGACCAUAUUUGUGAUGGAAGUUAGAUUGGGUGAAGUAACCCGGCUGGUUCAUUCGAAGCCGUAUAUAAAAUCACAUUAGCCAUGAUGACACUACUAGGACAAGAUCUUAAAGUAAGACCAUAAACAACCAAUAGAAAAGGAUGAACAUUGUCCACGAAAUUCUGGGUUUUUUAAACAAUGCAAAUGAAAAAAAAAGAGACAAGAAUGUCGUAAUCCGAACACGUGUUCUAAACAACACUGAUGAUCCCGGGAAGACCACAUAAACAGACAUGUGUGUUCAUUAAUAAAU